CUACGGGGGGCAGCAGUGGGGAAUAUUGGACAAUGGGCGAAAGCCUGAUCCAGCCAUGCCGCGUGUGUGAAGAAGGCCUUCGGGUUGUAAAGCACUUUCAGUGGGGAAGAAAGCCUUGGGGCUAAUACCCUCGAGGAAGGACAUCACCCACAGAAGAAGCACCGGCUAACUCCGUGCCAGCAGCCGCGGUAAUACGGAGGGUGCGAGCGUUAAUCGGAAUUACUGGGCGUAAAGCGCGCGUAGGCGGUCUGAUAAGCCGGUUGUGAAAGCCCCGGGCUCAACCUGGGAACGGCAUCCGGAACUGUGAGGCUAGAGUGCAGGAGAGGAAGGUAGAAUUCCCGGUGUAGCGGUGAAAUGCGUAGAGAUCGGGAGGAAUACCAGUGGCGAAGGCGGCCUUCUGGACUGACACUGACGCUGAGGUGCGAAAGCGUGGGUAGCAAACAGGAUUAGAUACCCCUGUAGUC
rnacentral:rRNA from 1 species